UUAGUUCUCUCUAUUCCUUUCCCACCCCCCACCCCUGCCACCGGCGCGGGGACUGGAGGGGAAAGACCCAAAGGCGACCCGGAACGACAGCGAAAGCUGCAGAGCCGCCCGCGGUGCCAAACCACAUCUCGGGAAAGGGUCCCCGCGGUGGGAAGCGGUCGGGGGGCUGCCGGGCCGGGCAGAGUUGCCGGGCCGGGGCCGGCGGGUGUAUCUUCCCCCGGAGCCGGGAUCCCAUCUGCAUGUCAAUGACCUGUGGAAGCAUCUCCCCAGUGCGGGCGCGGCUCAGUGGCCAUUGAAGCGGAGUCAGACCUACCCCCGGGGUGUUAGAUUUAGGGUUUGCGCCUGCAGAGACAGCGGGAUCCUCGGGAAGGUGCCUUCAAAAAAAAAAAAAACAAACCACAAAACAAACAACAAGCAACAAGAAAAAGCCAAAGGGAAAAGAGAAAGGGAGGAAAGGGGAAGGAGAAAAAGGAUAUUGGGGGGUGGGGGGAUGUUUCGAGGCGCUCCGUACCCUCCGCCGCUGAUAACGAGCUGGAUGUGGAAAUGGAGAUGGAUUUUAUUUUUAUUUCUUUUCUUUCUUUUUUUUUUUUUUUUUUAAUUAAAACUUUAGUGGGUCCUGGGGAUCGCGCUCGCUUCGCUUUGCUUUGUAGAAUGGAAAGAGAUACACGGAGAAAUGCAGGCCUUGUCAGGAUUUAUUGAAGUUGGGUUUAAAAAACGUGCUUCAGAUGAUUUUUCCCAUUUUCUCAGAUUUCAAAGGCUCCCCGCAGUGCGGCUGCCUAAUUAAUGGUGAAAUUCAACUAAAUCUAAUUAUGCAGUAAUUUUAAAGCAGUUAGUCCUGGGCGCUGCUUUGUAAUAGGAACCUAGUUUUUAAAGUUUGCUUAAUGUGUUGGUUUAGGGAGCUGGGGAGGAGAGGGGUGUAAGAGACAGAGCUGGAGGGCUGGGUUUUUUCCCUCUUCCCCCCCUCCUUUUUUUCCCCUUUCGCAAAGAAAUGCAAAAUUUAAACCCAAAACACCCAGCGAAAGGCAAGGAGAGAGGCUGUGUUAUCCAUCGCCUGUGAUACGGGUAUUGAGUGAGAAACACCAGCGAAAGUGUAAAUAACACAGUAGUUAAUAGGGACCAUAAAGGUAUUCCUGGCCUGUGGAUUUCCAAGUGCCAAGCUGUUUUGGAGAGGAUCUUGAAUCCUGCGGUAAUAAAGGGGCAACGGAGACACACAGCGUCUCUUCUUGGGAAAUAGAAACCAGAUUUCUGCUAUUGAACAUCUAUUGUCAUUAAGAGGAGAGGCUUGUGCUCGCGAAGUUAUAAAUCUUAUCACCCUUUUGAUAACACAGUUGUAAUCAGUUAGCAUCGCAUUCAAACCCAAUUGUAAAACUGCCUAAUUUAAUAUGUCAUACAUGUCAUUAAAACUUUAUUUUUCCCCCUUC